AUUAAGAAACAGACUCAAAGAGGUUAUGACUUCUCUGAGGUCAUACAGCCAGGACCCAUGGAGCUGGGACUAGUGCUCAAGCUUCUUGGCUGGCCAUCUUACUGCACUUUCUCCUGGACCUGCUGGCCUCCUGCAUUAUAAAGAGGGGAACUCUUUAUCAUCACCUGUGCUGAACUCAUUGGGAGUAGAAGAUUCUUCAUGGCUGCAACCCUCCCUCUAUUACCCGUGGCCUGCAAGGUGAAAGUGGGCAGUAUGCUUAAGGCCGUACGAAAUCUGGUGGCAUGUGCCUGUUUUUAUAGUUUGAGCUCCAACCAGAAAGAGCUCUGUCAUCCAAACAAUGAAUGGUGCCAGCAACAGCCCAGAGGCAAGAUAAAGCAAGCUGCAUGCUGAAGGAAGCUCUGUGGAAAGACCCCAUAGCAAAGACCUGCGGGAGGCCUCUUGCUGACAGCUUGUGAGGACUCGAGGUAUUAGUCCAACAGCUCAGAGAACUCUCUCCUGCUAGCAACCGUGUGAACUCAGGAGUGAACUAGGAAGAGGAUUCCACGCCUUGAGAGACUGUGAGAGAGUCCGAGCCAGAGGACCCGCUAAGCCACACCCAGAUCCCUAACCCAUACAAACAUGGCACAAUAAAUGUUUUUAGCCACUAA